GCUCCUCAGAGCGGGAAGACCGUUAAACUGUGUAAAUUAACGCGGUUAGCUUAGCAUAAGCUAUAUUAUUAAUAUUAUAAUUUAUUAACUUUUACCGCUUAAAUUUCAGGGUUAUUCAGUGUUUAUCCACCAAACACACACAAAUUCCACCUAUAUUUUAAUAACUGAGACUAAUUAACCUUUCUGGUGCCAAACCCAAGACAAGAUUAAUGGAGUGGAAAUGAAUCUGAGGGAAAACAUCUCAAUUCUGCGCUUAAAGGUUGAGAAAGAAGAUUUUUUUACUGAUUAAUAAUUAGUGAAAUCAAGUUAAAUCAAGCUCAACACCUCUUUAGCUGAAUCUGUCAGCCAGUCUGAAAGCAUUAUUUCGUGUACAGGCUGGCGGGAUCUGAUAAGGCUGAACAUGGCGGCUCCUCUCAGACACUGAAUUCAGACCCUACAGCGAACGUCUCGACCGCAGGGUUACCUGAGCUGAUUGCUGGGUACAGCAGAAGGAGGACCAGGGUGAGACCCGCAGUCAGACAGACGGCCAUGCUGGAGAUACACUCUCACACUCUCUGACACUUUCUAACAGACUCUCUAACACACUCACACACACUCUAACACACUCUCUAACACACUCACACACACUCUGACUCCUUCCCAGUGCUGUGUCAUUAACAUAAUCACACCGUAGCUCCUCCCCCUUGUGGGUUCGGCUGAAGAAGAGUACUGUGAGUGUGAGAUCUGAGAGGGUUUAGCAGGAGAUUACACACUCAGGUGAGACAGUAGGUGUUUAUUAGAGGUGUGUAAGUGCAGUGUGUAACUGACCACUGCAGCUGGGCUGGACACACAGUGAACUGUGUGAAGGACUGAGCUGAACUUUAAUAUUAUUAAAAAUCACAGAUAUGUGAAAUUGUGAUGUUAAAAUACAUUUAAACUUCUUCAAAAAGCUCUAAUUACAGCAUCUGUGUGGGUUUAUAAACCAAACACAGCCAACAGUAAUUGUCUGACCGCCCCUUUAAGACUGAUAUGGGUGGAGCUAAAAUACUCUAGGCUUAAUGAGUGGAACUGAACUAAAUGGGAGGAGCUAAACUGCUGUAGGCUGAAUGGGAGGAGCUAUACUGCUGUAGGCUAAUUGGGAGGAGCUAAACUGCUGUAGGCUAAUUGGGAGAAGCUGGGUGGGGCAAACAUUUCGCUGAAUGGGAGGGGUUAAACUGCUGUAGGCUGAAUGGGAGGAGCUAAAAUACUGUAGGAUGAAUGGGUGGAGCUAAAAUAGUAUAUGCUGAAUGGGAGGAGUUAAACUGCUAUAUGCUGAAUGGGAGGAGCUAAACUGCCGUAGGCUAAAUAUGUGGGACUAGAAUGGGAGAAGCUACACUGCUGUAGGCUAAAUGGGAGGAGCUAAAAUACUGUAGGAUGAAUGGGUGGAGCUAAAAUAGUGUUCACUGAAUAGAAGGAACUAAAAUACUG